CUCUGUGAUGCAUUAAGCUCUGUCACAUUAAGGAUACAUGGAAGAUCAGCAUGGCUCCUGUGCAAGGAUGAUGUGCAAAUUUGUGAAGCGUUGCAUAUUUAA
rnacentral:snRNA from 1 species